GUGCUCGCUUUGGCAGCAUAUAUACUAAAAUUGAAACUCUACAGAAAAGAUUAGCAUGGCCCCUGCACAAGGAUGACAUGCAAAUUUGUGAAGUAUUUCAUAUUUUG